GGCCUCAUUCUAGAUGAGAAGUGGCACUGUGGAUCAUGGUGUCCAAAAAAGGUUACUGUGUCUAAAUUGAGACACAGGCCAUGCUUCCAUCACAGUAAAUGUAAUGCAGUGGUGACAAUGAGAAUUAUAUUU
ensembl:snoRNA